AUCCAGUUGACGAGUCCUAAAUAGGACGAAACGCACGUCCUCUAU
rfam:Schistosoma rodhaini strain Burundi genome assembly, scaffold: SROB_scaffold0003028